ensembl:lncRNA
AGGCAUAUAAUAAGAAUUUUCCCUUGUCAUAUCAGAAUCUUUUGGAUGCAAGAAGGUCUAGCAGUUAUCUCAGGAGUUUGCUACUGCUGCCCUGAUGGAAAUGGAUACAAAGUAAUACGUGUGUGUAUACAUAAAAAUAUUUGAUUCAGCAAGAGAUUUUUAUUGAUUUACUCAUACUGGAUUGCUUUGAAUUAUGGAAGCAAAUCUUGUUUUCAUGAUCCAUAGCAGAGCUUCAGUGGAACAGAAUUUAAGUUUUUGGGCCAACAGAACCAUUUAAGCUUUCUAAACUUAGCUGUGGAAAACACGGAGGCUGUAUCCAUCUUUAGUUUAAGGGGGGGGGGCAACAAUAGAUUGAAGUUAGGUCAUUUUUAAGGGAUGAAAAAAAGACAAUGAAAGAUGGAGAUGUUCCAGCAGAAAUGAGGUGCAACAGCAAGCAAGCUGUUACAUGUUGCAGUCAAGACUAUCCAUCAAACAGACCAGGUGGUCCCUGGCUUUGUAAUCCCACCACACCCAGUUUAUAACAGACAAAGGAUGUCUGCUUGCCAGAUGUCCCCACCCCAGAUUAAUAACACACUGAUUCUGAUGCCAAGUACAAUGACCUUGCAAUGUUUCUACAGGGUUGGAAACUAUAGUAAAUCAACUGAAAAUGUUUAUAGGAAUAGACGUAUGUUUCUCUUAAUAGAAUGGUCUGUAUCCCAGUCUUAUUAAGAUGCUCUCUGACAUAACAUUGCUGUAUGCAAUCAUCCUUUUAUUGUUCUUUUAAAAACCUGAAUUAGCACAUGACAAACCAGGAGAGCCUAUUCUUGUAUAAACAGAUCCAAAGCCCAUCCAAAAAUAAAAAGUACAGCAAUCAAUAUAAACUAGUCUGUACAUUAUGUGCUAUGCAUGCGACCCUUAACAUAUCCUCUCUGAGUAACCCCUCCAUGACAGUAAGGACCUCAUUAGUUGCAGUCUUCUCUGUGUCUUCUCUCUAUUUUCAGGAGCUGGCAAAAUGGAGGCCCACAAAGGCCAUCCCAUGGAGGCCACUUCCGGUGGCUGCCCAUGAGAAUCUGUGUUGUCAGUGCCUGAUAACAGAAAGAAGACACAGAGAAAGAAGACAAAUGGUGGGAAAGGGGGUUGGAUGGCCAUCCAUCCAGGAAAAUGGGGAAAAGCGGUAGGGAACAAAGAAGGGUGGUUAUGCCUGCUUUCCCUAACUUUUCCCCUGCCUAUCUGAUGAGGUUCUAAGAAUGAUAUAUUAAGUUAUAUAUUAGAGGCUAAUCAAAGAACGAUAUUAGGUUGGACAAUUUGGCCUAAAUACACAGUGAUGUUUGUGAACUACUCUGGAUCCCAACAUUGGGUGAGGGAGUUGGAUAUAAAUGAAGUGACAAUAAGUACUACAAUUAUAACAAUAGGACAGUCCCGUGUCACUACAUCUCAUUACUUCUGUACCCUGGAUAAUGAGCCAAAUUGGUUCCAAAUUUUUGAUCCUCUAUUUUCCUCACAAACCUCUGAACUCUGAAGAGAAUGAAUCACAAACAACCAAUCAUAAGGAAAGUUGCCUGAGCUUCCUCACCAAUCUGACUUCCUUCAAAUGUUCCACUCAAAUAUGUAAAAAAUAGAUAUGACACAAUUAACCAAUGACAAUCUGAUACACAUACACAAAUUAAGGCUUGAUAUAUCUUUGGGUAGGUGAGACUCAGGAUGGGCAGCUCUAUCAUUUACUCUUAACCUGUGAUUUUUAACAUGGUUGGGAAACACAUAGUUCAUAGUCUACCUUUUUAUUCUUGUUGUCUAUGCUUGUACAUACCCUGUUUCCCUGAAAAAAAGACAUCCCCAAAAAAUAAGACCUAGUAGAAGUUUUGCUGAAUUGCUAAAUAUAAGGCCUUCCCCGAAAGUAAGACCUAGCAAAGUUUUUGUUUGGAAGCAUGCCCGGCGCCCGCCAAACAAAACACCAUAGCAUGCAGGAUUGGUAAAUGUACAUAAUAAUAAUAAUAAUAAUAAUAAUAAUAAUAAUAAUACAUCACACUGUCCUAGACACUUGGGAAGUGUUUGACUUGUGAUGUUGUGAUAUGAAAUCCAGCAUGUCUCUCUUGUUUGCUGUGUCAUACAAUAAUAAUAAUAAUAAUAAUAAUAAUAAUAAUACAUCACACAGUCCUAGACACUUGGGAAGUGAUCGACUUGUGAUUUUGUGAUACGAAAUCCAGCAUGUCUAUCUUGUUUGCUGUGUCAUACAAUAAAAUAAUAAUAAUCAUAAUAAUAAUUUUAUUUUUAUACCCCGCUUCCAUCUCCCCAGAGGGACUCGGGGCAGCUUACAUACCAGUUGUAUAUGGAAAUAAUGAUAGUAACAAGAAAUUCUUGACAGGAGUCACAGUUUGUCUGGUUUAGUUAUGUUGGUUUGUCAUGACAACUACUGUACAGUAUAGAAUAAAUGUUCUUUUUUUUUUCAACAAUAAAUAUGAAUUUUUCUUCAUGGAAAAAUAAGACAUCCCCUGAAAAUAAGACCUAGCGCAUCUUUGGGAGUAAAAAAUAUUAUAAGACACUGUCUUAUUUUCAGGGAAACACGGUAGUUUUGCAAAGUGAGUUUUGUGCAAAAAAAUUUUUUAGAAAACAUGCAGGCAGGAGAAAAGCACUGGAGACUAGAACUUAAAAACUGCAAAUAAAUAAAUAAAUAAAUAAACUUUCUGAUUUUUUUCCAAUCAUGAGGUUUCUAUACACAAGGUGAAAGAAAACUUGCAGCUUGCAAAUACAAAAUAUGUCCCAUUGGGAUCGUAAUUCAUCAAUCUUUCUCGGUAAUCAGCAGAAAUAUAUAUAGAUUUUUUUCCAAAAAUUACCAAAUUUAAAAAAGAAAGAAAAAAAAGAGUAAUAGGCAGGACACUUUGUUGGUUAGGAAUAGAACAUUAUGAACUGAUAAAAAAUAUAAAAUCAUUUUUGUACAAGGUUUGGAAAUUUGCAAAAAAUAUUUUUUUUUGCAAGAGAAUGCAUAUCCUUAGCACGUUUUUAAAAAAAUUCCAAUAAAAAAUUCUUCAGAUGAAUUUGGUACCUUUUGGAAACAAACUCCAUAUAUGUAAACAUGAAGUUAGGAAACUAAGAGAGAGGAAUUAUAUUGUAGGGGCAUAGGGACCACAGUAGUAAUUCCAAGGGUCAUUCCUUUAUUGAUAAUUAGUACUGAUAGGCCAACUCAGAAAUAUAAUGGACUUUCCAGAUGCCACCUUUUUUGAUGAUAAUGAACAUAUAACUCUCAAAUUCAAGAAAUGUCUUGAGAAAAUCCAGGUACCAAUUCCUUCUGUAGAGUAAGUGAAGAGCCUCACACUCAGUUCAGGAAGUCUAUGUUGUUCCUGUGAUGAUAUAGGAAGCAAAUGGAACCAGCAGAAUCCAACUUGAGCAGAAAUAUCCACCACAUUGCAUUCUGAGACUAUGAUGGGAUAACAAAUUCCUACUUCUUAAGAUUAAGAGCACUGGGACAUAGCUGGAAUGUUCUGCGUUGCUCUAAGUGCUUGUCCUGGGCAAAGAAGCAUCUGGGCUAAAUUAUAUUUGCUUGCUCUAAAACAUGCACUGAGUCAUGCUGAUUGGCCAGACUCAGAAAAGAUGCCAAAGGAAAGGCAUGGCCUAUGCUCUACUUGGCUCAAUAUCAAAUCUUUACAAUGAUGGUAAUCAAGCUGUUAUAAAAAUUUGGAUAAUUUUUCCCCUGAUGUCUCAAGUGCCAUCAUAGAAAAGGCAUGUCCUUACAAACCACAAAGGAGAUUUGUUUCAUCUACACAGUCUAAAGGAGAUUUGUUUCAUCUACACAGUCUAAACACCCUCACUGGCAUUUGCUGGAAAGAAAAGA